rnacentral:rRNA from 1 species
AGAGUUUGAUCAUGGCUCAGAACGAACGCUGGCGGCGCGCCUAAUACAUGCAAGUCGAGCGAGAAGGUGUAGCAAUACACUUGUAAAGCGGCGAACGGGUGAGGAAUACAUGGGUAAUCUACCAUCGAGUGGGGAAUAACCAGCCGAAAGGUUGGCUAAUACCGCGUACGCCUCCGGAUUUUCGGAUUCGGAGGGAAAGCCGUGCUGUGAGUACGGCGCUCUUUGAUGAGCUCAUGUCCUAUCAGCUUGUUGGUAGGGUAACGGCCUACCAAGGCUUUGACGGGUAGCUGGUCUGAGAGGACGAUCAGCCACACUGGCACUGCGACACGGGCCAGACUCCUACGGGAGGCAGCAGUAAGGAAUAUUGCGCAAUGGGCGAAAGCCUGACGCAGCGACGCCGCGUGGGGGAUGAAGGUCUUCGGAUUGUAAACCCCUUUCGGGAGGGAAGAUGGAGCGAGCAAUCGCUCGGACGGUACCUCCAGAAGCAGCCACGGCCAACUUCGUGCCAGCCGCCGCGGUAAUUC